UGAUCUGAGCCAAAAUCAAGAAUCAGACACUUAACCAACUGAGCCACCCAGGCACCCCCACAUACCUCUUGUUUGUCCUCUUGAUAUACCUUCUGUCUUUAAAUGGAGACCCCCUGGUUUCCCUUUUCUCAGUGCCUAACAGUACCACCAUGUGACCAGUACUCAAGUUAGGAAAGCAAGGAGACAUUCUUAACUCUUCCCUUGCUUACCCUCUCUUGUACAAGCUAUGUAAGUCCUCCAAGGAGCAGAUACCAGGACAAGAUUAAUUGUACAAGAAGUUAUUAGUGUAUGUGUCUGUGUGAGAGAAAAUAGGAAGGGAACUGUGUGAGGCUGGAAAGCUGGAAAAAUCCCAGUAGGAGUCUGAAAAGCUUGGGUGGAAGUGUGCUAGGCUGAUGGCUGUCCUUGUCUUUGGCAGGUUCACUAGUGUCAUCAGGGAAUCCUCAGAGCACUCAGCCAUUAGAGGAGAGCUAUGUCUCCCAGGAAUGGGUCUACUUCAGGAUUCUUGUGACAUCAGUCACUGGAAGCCCAUGGGAAAAGUGGCCUGGACACAACUCAGCAGUGCAUUUCACAGAGCAAUAGCUGGGCCUUUGGUCAGUUAUACUUCCUCUGGUUGGAGGUCUGAGAGGCACAUCCUCAUGGCUGCCACAGUGCACCCCAUGAGCUGCACAGAUCUACUUCUCCACAUAGUUUUGGGGAGCAGUGCUUCCAUGGUUCCCACAGGCCUCUCUUCCUGGGGGUGGGAAGGAACUAAUAACAAAGAGGUUAGAGAGAUGAGCUACAGCCCCUGUCACUGUAGUUGACCUCAGGGCUACAACUUGUCCACUCCCUCCUCCAACAUCCAUUCUGAAUUCCCUUCACCCUCAAACAUCAUCUUGUCACAUCUUGGUAACUUAGCUUGUUGGGCAACUCAUGAUUCUGUAGUGCCUGAAUCCUUGAGAGUCAUAUCCUUUCUCAGUUCAAGGUUGCAGCACAUGUCUGUUCACAGUUACAAUGGGGCAAAAGAGGACCAGGAGGCCCCAAAGCGGAUCUCUUACUUUCCAUACAUACCAUAUUCCAUCCUGCUGCUCGUGUGUAAAAGCAGCCUGACUUCCUCCUGCUGGUCAGGGUCAAUUAUCUCCACCAACAUAACUGUUCCUUUUAAGUUGCUGGUCCCUGGGCACAGGAAGCCCAGCACCUUGCAGCAGUCUGUAAUUCAAUGACACCCUUGCAGUAUCACCUGGAAAGGACCUGUCCUAUCUGGGAUCAGAACCUCCAACAUUGAAGAGCCCAAAGUUGCAAUGACAGCACAAAACCCUCUGACAGGUCAUUAGGAAUGGUGACCAGUGGAGCCACUCCUAUAUACACCUCUUGAUUCGUAGAUCCAUGGACUCUUCCUCUCCAGAACAGAGCACCAUAUACUGGUCUCUGACUGAUAUAAUUAUACUGUGUUUUGAAGGAUGGCACCUCAUUCUCUCCGUGUUUUUCCAAACUAGCAUUUCAUCUGUGCCUUUGGAAGACUGUUCCACAAAUCUCCCUCAGGAUGGUGCAAUAUGUGAUACAACCAAUAGAUCCUAUGGUGAUGGACCAACUCCGACACCUCCUUCACUGUAAAGUUCAUGUUCGUCACUCAGCCUCUUCAGGGGCAACUCGGUUAAGUCCUUUCCAUCCUCCGACUCCAGAGCCUCACCAGGCUUCCCCUCUCUGCCAUCUGGGGAACCCAAUGUAUCAUCAGAAGAUACAGUCAUGGAACCUGGCAAGAUCCUGACAUCAGAGAAGCUUGCAGAGAAGUCAGAAGCUUGAUCAGAAGAAGGCUCUACAGACGGUGUGUUCAUGUCACUGUGUGUACUUACGAUACUAUCCUCAUCCUCCUCUUCUUCAUCUAGCAUUAUUUCAUCUGGAUUAAUAGAGGACAGGGCAGACGUGUCUGUGUUAUAUUCACUACGGUCUUCACCAGAGUCAUUACUCUCCAGGUCCUCCUGUUCUUCAUAUUCACCACACAAGUGAUGUUCUUCCUUGGCCUUCUGCAGCCUGACGUUUAUGUCAGUGAUGCCAAGCUGGGCACAAAAUUCAGUAGUUUGAGGAUUGAUCCUAUGCACCAACUGCAUUUGUGUCUGUGGCCUGCUAGGGUCAUAACAAGCAGCUGUUACGCUGAAGUUACAUGGAACUCUGAGGUCAUGAUUCAGUAUUUCCAAUACUUUGUUCAUAGCUUCUUCUGUUGCACUAUAAUCCCACCUACAAAAGUCCAAAACAAUAGCUUUUUACAUUUUAUCAGCCUCAGACAACAAAUGGUAAGAUCUAACUGUGGACUUCAGGUGUAAGGAUAAAAUCUAAACCACAUAUAAAAAUUCCGUUUAAUAAAAUUACAGUUAAUUUACCAAAGGACCAUUUUGAAAUAAAAACAAUUCUUAGAAAAA